GGAAGCACCGGCUAACUCCGUGCCAGCAGCCGCGGUAAUACGGAGGGUGCGAGCGUUGUUCGGAUUUAUUGGGCGUAAAGCGCGUGUAGGCGGUUUUUUAAGUCUGAUGUGAAAGCCACGGGCUCAACCUGGGAAGUGCAUUGGAUACUGGGAGACUUGAAUACGGGAGAGGGUAGUGGAAUUCCUAGUGUAGGAGUGAAAUCCGUAGAUAUUAGGAGGAACACCGGUGGCGAAGGCGGCUGCCUGGACCGAUAUUGACGCUGAGACGCGAAAGCGUGGGUAGCAAACAGGAUUAGAUACCCUGGUAGUCCACGCCGUAAACGAUGAGAACUAGGUGUUGCGGGUAAAGGGCGMMYUCWRMAR
rnacentral:rRNA from 1 species